UACGUAGGUGGCAAGCGUUAUCCGGAAUUAUUGGGCGUAAAGAGCGCGCAGGUGGUUAAUUGAGUCUGAUGUGAAAGCCCACGGCUUAACCGUGGAGGGUCAUUGGAAACUGGUUGACUUGAGUGCAGAAGAGGGAAGUGGAAUUCCAUGUGUAGCGGUGAAAUGCGUAGAGAUAUGGAGGAACACCAGUGGCGAAGGCGGCUUCCUGGUCUGCAACUGACACUGAGGCGCGAAAGCGUGGGGAGCAAACAGG
rnacentral:rRNA from 1 species